AAAUUGAAGAGUUUGAUCAUGGCUCAGAUUGAACGCUGGCGGCAGGCCUAACACAUGCAAGUCGAGCGGUAGCACAGAGAGCUUGCUCUCGGGUGACGAGCGGCGGACGGGUGAGUAAUGUCUGGGAAACUGCCUGAUGGAGGGGGAUAACUACUGGAAACGGUAGCUAAUACCGCAUAACGUCGCAAGACCAAAGUGGGGGACCUUCGGGCCUCAUGCCAUCAGAUGUGCCCAGAUGGGAUUAGCUAGUAGGUGGGGUAACGGCUCACCUAGGCGACGAUCCCUAGCUGGUCUGAGAGGAUGACCAGCCACACUGGAACUGAGACACGGUCCAGACUCCUACGGGAGGCAGCAGUGGGGAAUAUUGCACAAUGGGCGCAAGCCUGAUGCAGCCAUGCCGCGUGUGUGAAGAAGGCCUUCGGGUUGUAAAGCACUUUCAGCGGGGAGGAAGGCGGUGAGGUUAAUAACCUCAUCGAUUGACGUUACCCGCAGAAGAAGCACCGGCUAACUCCGUGCCAGCAGCCGCGGUAAUACGGAGGGUGCAAGCGUUAAUCGGAAUUACUGGGCG
rnacentral:rRNA from 1 species